ACGGACAGAUUACUGAUGGACGGACAGAUUACUGAUGGACGGACAGAUUACUGAUGGACGGACAGAUUACUGAUGGACGGACAGAUUACUGCUGGACGGACAGAUUACUGAUGGACGGACAGAUUACUGAUGGAUGGACAGAUUACUGAUGGACGGACAGAUUACUGAUGGACGGACAGAUUACUGAUGGACGGACAGAUGAGGCGAUCGUGGACGGACUGAGGGACUGAUGAGAUGCUGACAGCAGCUGAAGGGCAGAACAUUCAUUCAUGCUGACAAGUUCUGCAGUGCCCACAAAGUGAGGCUGACGUCUCCGGCUCAGGUGAGCCUCUACAGGACCAUGGACCAUAAUGUCAGACUAUCUGAGCCACAAGCCAAUCAGAUACUGGCCUGGUGAUGACUGUGAUGGCCCCGCCCCCAUCAUUAGGAGUCGUCAUCAAGGCAGUGCUGCUGCCACCAAUACUGCUGCCAUGGUAACGAGAUGUGAGUGGAGGGAAGGCG